rnacentral:rRNA from 1 species
AUUGAACGCUGGCGGCAGGCCUAACACAUGCCAGUCUACCGAGUGGCGGACGGGUGAGUACUGUCUGGGACACUGCCUGAUUGAGGGGGAUAACUACUGGACACUGUAGCUAAUACCGCAUACCAUCCGAUGUUCCCAGAUGGGAUUAGCUAGUUGGUGGGGUAACGGCUCACCCAGGCGACGAUCCCUAGCUGGUCUGAGAGGAGGACCAGCCACACGGGAACUGAGACACGGUCCAGACUCCGACGGGAGGCAGCAGGGGGGAAUAUUGCACAAUGGGCGCAAGCCGGAUGCAGCCAUGCCGCGUGUAUGAAGAAGGCAUUCGGGUUGUAAAGUACUUUCAGCGGGGAGGCGUUACCCGCAGAAGAAGCACCGGCUAACUCCGUGCCAGCAGCCGCGGUAAUAC